rnacentral:rRNA from 1 species
UAGCUUGCUAUGGGGACAAUUAGUGGCAGACGGGUGAGUAAUGCAUAGGAAUCUACCUAGUAGUAUAGGAUAGCCACUAGAAGUGGUGGGUAAUACUGUAUAAUCCCUGCGGGGGAAAGAUUUAUCGCUACAUGAUGAGCCUAUGUUAGAUUAGCUAGUUGGUGGGGUAAUGGCCUACCAAGGCAGUGAUCUAUAGCUGGUCUGAGAGGAUGAUCAGCCACACUGGAACUGAGACACGGUCCAGACUCCUACGGGAGGCAGCAGUGGGGAAUAUUGGACAAUGGGCGCAAGCCUGAUCCAGCUAUGCCGCGUGAGUGAGGAAGGCCUUAGGGUUGUAAAACUCUUUCAGUGGGGAAGAUAAUGACGGUACCCACAGAAGAAGUCCCGGCAAACUCCGUGCCAGCAGCCGCGGUAAUACGGAGGGGGCAAGCGUUGUUCGGAAUUAUUGGGCGUAAAGGGCAUGUAGGUGGUUUGGUAAGUUAAAGGUGAAAUGCCAGGGCUUAACCCUGGAGCUGCUUUUAAUACUGCCAGACUGGAGUCCGGGAGA